rnacentral:lncRNA from 1 species
CCGUUGGUCCGAAACUAUUUAGUGAGAGAAAAUGAGAGAGAGACACUGUUGAGAGAGACAUUUUUCUAGAGAGAGACGUGGAGACCGUUGGGAGGGAGACCGAGAAAGAGGGAGAGCAUGCAUUUUCUAGAGAGAGAAUUGAUGCAUUUAUUUAGAGAGAGAAGGGAGGCAUUUUCUAGAGAGAGAAAGGAGAUAUCCUUGUCUCGUGCAGGUGGAGAGGAGACACAUCUUUAAAUCUUUUUGUGCGUGCUUCUCUGACAUUGUCUCUCUCUCUCUUCCCUGCCAUGGAUGCCAGAUCUGUUGGAGUUGCAUCAUCCCAUGCCGCAGUAUUGAUGCCGAGGCACCCUUCUCUCUCUAUAUGUAUCUAAAUAACCGUGGCAAUUUACAGAUCUCUCCCUCUCUGCUCUUUCUCACUCUUAAUUCUUGGUUCGAGAUAGUGGAUCGUCUGCUGGCUAUUGAUUCUCUCCCCUCUAACUCCAUUUCUAUUCUUUUAUUCGUGUCUUAUUCGGAUUGUUUUAUUUGUGAAAGAUAAGUUUUAAGGGGUCUUCUGGUGUUAAGGAAAAUGCCUAGGGUUUGAGACCUGAUUCUAAGAGUUUUUGUGGUUGUUUAUUGCGUGAAAGGAAAUAUUUAGGAUUUGUUUGACCGAUGGUGUGUUUUAGGAUUUCUUUUAGGAGGAUAGAACGGAUUUUUGGUGCCGGCAGGUGGUUCCAGAUGUCAAGUAAGUUUUCUCAAGAAAGUGUCCAUGAUUUAUUGUGAUAAUUCUCUCAAUUUUGUAUGUUGAUCAGAGGAUGACUUUGUUGGUUCUCUUUUUGUGUCCAGGAUUUAUUGUGGUGAUUCUUUCAAUUUUGCAUGUGGAU